rnacentral:rRNA from 1 species
ACCCUACGGGGGGCAGCAGUGGGGAAUAUUGCACAAUGGGCGAAAGCCUGAUGCAGCAACGCCGCGUGAAGGAAGACGGUUUUCGGAUUGUAAACUUCUAUCAAUAGGGAAGAAAGAAAUGACGGUACCUAAAUAAGAAGCCCCGGCUAACUACGUGCCAGCAGCCGCGGUAAUACGUAGGGGGCAAGCGUUAUCCGGAUUUACUGGGUGUAAAGGGAGCGUAGACGGCAUAGCAAGUCUGAUGUGAAAGAUCGGGGCUCAACCCCGGGCCUGCAUUGGAAACUGUUAAGCUGGAGUACAGGAGA